CCUGACGCCAACCAGACCCCGUUACUCUAUCCAGCCUCCCACCGGACAUGAGCCUAGCAAUACCACGACUUACCCUGCCCGGGUGCGGAGACGGGUUGCUUGCACCUGGGGACAAACUAACUGGGACUGGUCUCUCCCUCUCACAUUAGACCUGUGAACCGCAUAUGCAGCCACCGACAGCUCACAACUGGACGGAUAGGCCCUUACUUUGAUGCAUGGGAUCCGGG